rnacentral:lncRNA from 1 species
CCGCAUUCCCAGAGGGACCACCUUUGCUAAUUAGCUACCUAGCAUGCUCCGAACCCCUGUGCGUAACGGAAGAAGGCCUUGACAACGGUGCUGUCACUGAAAAAUACAGUAUGCUGCAACUGUGUUAAAGCCGGGUAAAACCAUGUACAAUCUACUUGGUGGGGACGAUCAGUGAUGGUCCUGUACUAUGAAUCAUUUUCACCUGUGGAGUUUCAUGACCUGCCCCCCGAGGUGAAGCAGUGGGAUGGACCGAGACAUCGAUAAUUAGGGUCAUUAGCCAGGGCUGGGAAGCUUCCCACUGGACACAGAUGUCAGUUCAUCAUCUAGUUUUGAUUUACAUUUGAUUGAGUUGUCAGCUAACAUGAAUUCAACAUGAAAUUAACAAAAAAUGUCACAAGGUCAUUGGAUUUAGGUUAAAAGUUGAGAGAAAAAAAUACUAAAUUCCAUUUACGUUGAUGACUUUUUUUCAAAUUCAAUCAGUUUUCCAUGUUGAUUCAACGUCGUCAUAUAAAAUGUUGGGGUUGAAAUGACAUGGAAACAAUAUUGAUUCAACCAGUUUUUGCCCAGUGGGUUGUGGUUUGACUGUCAACAAUAAGUGUCAUCACAAACAGGUUUGUCGAGGACCUAUUGUGAAAAAGGCUUUCUCUGGCAGGUGUAGAUUUAAUUAUGUUCCCACUAGAAACGAGGCAAGCCUGCUAACUGACUUAACGUGUACAUCCCGUCAUGCCAAUACAGAAUAGGAGAAAUCCUGUCGCUUCUCUUAUUUUUCACAUUUAUAAAACUGAGCUCAUUUAGGCCCCUUCAGUUGAUUAUUCUGUCUGUAAAUUAUUGUAAUAUGGUGCAAAAAUAUCUACUUAAUAUGAAGCCUAUAUACUGGAGAUGAUAAAGCAAUGCCACGAAUGGAGAAAAGUCAAGUCAUGUGAAUAUGCCCAACAGCGCCCCUACACUCCUGGGAAGUAUCCUACAUGGUGUUUUGGUUUGUUUACAUCUAGGUAUAUCAAGUGCGCACUGUCAUGCAAUCACAACACCACAUAUGUCAGUAUGGCCUUCAUUCACAUAACAGUCAUAAGAUUCAUAUUAAUAUAAGUAAGUAGCACGCAUAGUCCUUUUAUAAACGCGAACUUAUUAUAAACAUGACUAUAGUCUACAGUAACUUCAUUUAAUCAGUAACAACUUGUUUGUAAACAACUACUUUUUUUGUUAUUUUUCUGUCUCGUUUUUAUUAUUGGGCUCUGUUGUGUUUGAUGUUUUAUACCGCCAUGAGGAAAUAAGUAGUGACCAUGCCAAUAUUAAGUGCAAGUGCGUAACAUCCUCCUCGCUCCUAUUUACGCACAUCCAUCUCUUGCGCAGCAUCCUAUUCCCAAUCCCCGCUUCACGCUCCAUCUCGUCGCCAACAGUUUUAGCCUGCCUAACAUUCCUCUAUCCAAAACAAAUAGCAUGAAGCCGAUUACUUAAUAUAGGCUAUGUUUCUGAGGGUUUCCAGUAUCUGCGGCGUAGGCUACAAUUCCCACCGGAUUCCAUUGCAUUUGUCACAAUAGCACUCGCUCUGACGCAGACAAAUGUAACUAUUUACCUGUCGCUCAUAAUUGAGAAUGGUAAUUGUAUUCGAUUAGUUUACUACCUCCACUAUAUGUAUCGUUUACUAAAUUGGCAUUUUCAUAUUUAUUUGAAAGUGAAGAGCAUUUUAAGAGGACCAUAUCCACAAUCACUAUAUUAUAGGCUAUAUCAGAUUUGUUUAUAGAUGUUUGUGAUAACACAUUGUAUUAGUUAAAUGUGUCGUUACAACAUCGUUUGCAUUAGGCUACUGAAAUUGGCAACACGUUUCUGUAAUUCCUAGAAUAAAAUUAUGAUUUAGCCUGAUAGCUUACCUCAACGUAUGUCUUCUUUCCUCCCUUGGCGACCCUUUCGGUUAGAUCAUGUUUUCAAUAACUGGAUAGCACCUGUUUCCAUGAAGCACCCCUCACAUUAUUACAGUAUCCCCAUCGAUUUUUCCAUAGCGCAACACGAGAAGCCCGCCCCUGACACUCCCCCUUCUGCUGGUUGGCCAGGCCUUGGUGAAUUAUUUUGCCUACGUCGGAAUCACAUGUGGUUGACGCAUGUUUACAAACAUUGGAUGAGAUCACAUGGUGAUGGGACCCAGUUUACAGUAAACCAUUCGACAUUAAGCAUAAAUUAGUGCUCGUCUGCUUGUAGGCCUAAAAACCGAAAUGAGUUACCUCUGGUUCUUUCGGACAUUCCUAUGGGGAAAGUUGAUGGCGUUUUGGGAUAAACACCGAAAAUAAAGUAUAAGGGUAACAAAGGCUUAGGAGAUCUUAUACGUUUUGUUCUAUGAAAUAAUAUCAGUCAGUCAACAUUACCUGUAUGAAUUAUUAAGCCUUUAUGUGCUUGUUUUGAUUAAACAAAUGCUUCAAAAAGUUAGCUGAUUUAAGAUUAUCUCAUAGAACUAAAAACGUCUAAGAUCUCCUAAGCAUGUGUUUACAAUAGACCGUAUUUUCGGUGUUCAUCAAAAAACCGUCAGAAACCUCAUUAAUUGACCAACUAGCCAUGCAGGACUUAGUGCCUACAAAAAUACUGCAUUACUAUAGCUCGCCAGACUGUAGUCCUAAAAAAACGGAAAUGAAACCUCUGGUUCGUUCCGCCAUUACUAAGGCAUUGUGAAUGCAGAAAAUAAGGUAUGAGGUUAAGAGAUCUUAUACAUUUUGUUCUAUAUUAUUAUUAUUAUUAUUAUUAUUAUUAUUAUAACAGUCAGUUAAAACAUGACCUGUAUGAAUUUUGAAGCCAUUAUGUGCUUAUUUUGAUUACGUAAAUGCUUCAAAAUUCACAAAAAGUGAUGUUAGCCGAUGAAUAUUAUCUCAGAGAACAAAACGUAUAGGUCUACAAAGCCUGUGUUUACAACAGACCUUCUUUUCCGGAUUCAUCCAAAAACCCUACAAAAUCCCAUUAAUUUCCGUUAGUGCCUACAAAAAGACGGCAUUACUAUUGCUCUCUAUACUAGUAGUUGUAAAGUAUUAUAUAAUCCCUUCGGCCUCAAAAUAAACAUUCACAUGGCUAUACUAUUGCCUUUAACAUGUUUAUAAUAGGUCUAUGGGAUUCUAUAAGCUUAUAGUAGGAUGGUAUAAGGUACAAAAGCAUUUUUCAGAUAUUAAAAUGUAUUACAUAAGUAUUACACAAUGUCUAAUGUUCUUGGAGAAAGUGGUACUUGAUGUUCUGUUCCCUCCUGUUUUGGUAUGCGGCAGCGGGAGAAAAAUUUGUGCCAGCCAGGGAGUUCGAUUUAGCUCGCCCGGGUUUCCCCAUAGAGAGGAGCUUACCCAGAGUUAAAACGGAUUGUAUUCGUUUUGAAACCGAGCUGCCUUCCGGGAAUGAGCCGGAUGCCCCUUUGAAUGCCGACGGCGAAGUCGGCGGGGGAAAAAAGUGUAUGUCAAGCAUAUGGAGUAAUGAGUUUGGAUUCAGUAUUUUCACGUGCAAAAGUGUAAAAACGCAUAAGCUGCCUUUCCAAGGAAAACUACUUUGAAAAUGUUAACGUGUUUUAUAUUUCUCAAAGAUUCGUCAUGCUGUUUUGUUGUCAUUAAGGCCUGGUGAUUCUCGAUUUGAGUCGGGUGCUCCUCCCUCACCGCUUUUGCCUCGUAAUGUGCCGUUUUUAGCCCAGUUCACCCCGGUUCAGUCUAAUCCAACUCCCUUAGUGUCCCUGAACUGUUAUUGUAAUUCCUUCUUCAAUACAGCAGAGGGCAAUAUAAUACAGAGGAGACACUGGCCUACACAAGUUGCCAUUACUUUGCUGCGUAGUUUGAUUUGAACAGCCAUACGAAGUAACAGGCCCCAUAUCUCAUUUUCUGAUCGAAGGGUUUUGUCUAGCUUUGUGUGUUCUUUGCAUCUCUAUCCCUGUGCAUUUUUACAACAAAUGAAAAUCAAAACACAUUCAUAAUUUGAUAAAAAAUCAUUGCUGACUUUUUGGUGGUAUGAUUACUGGC